rnacentral:rRNA from 1 species
UACGGAGGGUGCGAGCGUUGUCCGGAAUCAUUGGGCGUAAAGCGCAUGUAGGCGGUUUGUUAAGUCUGGUGUGAAAGCUCAAGGCCUAACCUUGAAAUUGCAUUGGAAACUGGCAAACUAGAAUACUGGAGGGGUAAGUGGAAUUCCAUGUGUAGCGGUGGAAUGCGUAGAUAUAUGGAGGAACACCAAUGGCGAAGGCAGCUUACUGGACAGUUAUUGACGCUGAGAUGCGAAAGCGUGGGGAGCAAACAGG